rnacentral:rRNA from 1 species
CACGUAGGGUGCGAGCGUUGUCCGGAAUUAUUGGGCGUAAAGAGCUCGUAGGCGGUGUGUCGCGUCGGCCGUGAAAACCUGCAGCUUAACUGUGGGCUUGCGGUCGAUACGGGCAUCACUGGAGUUCGGCAGGGGAGACUGGAAUUCCUGGUGUAGCGGUGAAAUGCGCAGAUAUCAGGAGGAACACCGGUGGCGAAGGCGGGUCUCUGGGCCGGUACUGACGCUGAGGCGCGAAAGCGUGGGGAGCGAACAGG